rnacentral:rRNA from 1 species
CAGUAGCCACGGUAAUACGGAGGGUGCAAGCGUUAAUCGGAAUUACUGGGCGUAAAGCGCACGCAGGCGGUCUGACAAGUCAGAUGUGAAAUCCCCGGGCUUAACCUGGGAACUGCAUUUGAAACUGUCAGGCUGGAGUCUUGUAGAGGGGGGUGGAAUUCCAGGUGUAGCGGUGAAAUGCGUAGAGAUCUGGAGGAAUACCGGUGGCGAAGGCGGCCCCCUGGACAAAGACUGACGCUCAGGUGCGAAAGCGUGGGGAGCAAACAGGAUUAGAGACCCCGGUAGUCCCUGUCUCUUAUAC